GUCACCUGUGUCUCCAGCACCCACCCAGGAGCCACUUCCUGCCAGGCUGAGUCACUUCACUGUGGCUAGGUCAGCUGUCUUACCUCUGCCACCCGGCCCACCAAGGCCACAGCUGCACUGGGUUCAGUGCAGGGUGGGGGAGGGGUCCCUUCAUGUCUGUGUCAUGGCUGUUGUCCGAGCACUAAAGCAGCACUGCUUGUCUAUCAGAGUGAACAAGCCCCCAGGCCCUGCUCCCUAGCCCCCUGGGGUUUAGGCGUAGGUCGCGGGAACCAGAGGUCGCUGAUGGAGCUGGACCGUGUCAUCCAGUCAGCCUUCCUGUGGGGGGCGCCCAUUCUGUUUCCUCUCUCUUCCUGGUUAUCCGCUUCUGCUUAUGGUCAUCCAUAAACAGCCCUGUUCUGAUCCUGCCUGAAACUGCAAGGCCCUCUCGGCUUCUGUCCCCACCACACGCCCCACCCUGAGCUGUGUGUGUCCUCACUUGGCUCACUCAGCAUUUCCUGAGCUGGCUGCCUGCUUUCACCUCCUGGGCCUGGCUUGCCCUUCUCUCCGUCUGCCUGCGAGUCCCUGAUGGCCCAGGGUCAGGAGCUGGGGUGCUGUAUGUCCUCCCGCUGGGGUGCUAUCUCCGCCUGCUGGCUCUACUGGGAGAGCAAGAGUCGGAGAAGCCGGGCAUUUGUUUUCUGGGGAGCUGAUCACACCCCACCAGCCCUGCCUGCUCCUGUGCACUUAACAUCCAGUGUUGUCACGGAUUAUUUAUGCUUCUAAUUCGUCUAUUCCUGAAGACAAAGACAGGCUCUCUCGGUAUUGGCCUCCUUGUCUAGCACAGACUCUUACAGAAUGCAGGCUGCAACAUUUAAAUAUUUGUUGAAUACAUGGAGGCUAUGAGCUUCGUUAGGAAAGUAGUCUCUUCGAGUGCUUAAGGGCCUGGCGUCAGGAGCAGAACUACCUGCGUUUCAAACCAGAUGCUGCUACUUACUAGGUGCCUGACGGUGGCAAAGUUCAUGACUGAUCUCAUCACGUGAGUCCUUCAAAGUGGAGAAUCAUUCCUGGCUGGGUCAGACAGGGGCAGGAGGAGUGAUUCAAAGUGUGAGAGGGACUUGGCCCACCCACCGAUGUUGGCUUUGAAGAUGGAGGAAGGGGACCAGGAGCCAAGGACUGUGAGUGGCCUCUAGAAACUGAGAAUGGCCCCCAGAUGACAACCAGCAAAAAACAGUGACCUUGGUCCUACAACCUCAAGGAGUUGAAUUUUCUUACAACCCAAAUGAACAAGGAAACAGACGGUCCCCUAGAGCCUACAGAAGGGAUUGUGGCCCUGCUGAAACCUUGAGCUUAAGCUGGUGAGACCCACGUUGGACUAAUAACCUACAGAAUUGCAAGUGAGACUCAUCCUCACCUCUCCUGAUCCAGUGAGACCCACAAGAUUUAUCUCACCUGAUUUAAAUCAAGAAGAAGGAACAUAAACAUUUGUCAAGAUGGCCUACAGGUAGACGUAAGUCUUUAUACGGUCCCUUAAGGAGAGAAGAGGGAGAAGACAAGAGAAUGGAGGAGGUGGGAGGGAGACUAGAGAGAAGAGAGACAGAGAGUCAAAGACAGUGACGGAGAGAGGGAGAGACAACAGAGGAGAGAAACAUGGGAAUGGAGGCUUGAUGGAUUUUAAACGAGAGUUAGAGAUUGCAUUCUGCUAUUUUCUUGGAUGUGAGCUCCUGCGUGAAGUCACCUGGAUAUUGAUGUGUGUGGCCCUUGUGUAACUAUUGUUCAGAGCUCCCCACACACUGGAAUCCCAAAUCUCUAGUCUAGACUCUAGGAGUCUGCAGGUGCCCUUUUCAUGGGAGGAAUGCCAGCAGCCCACUUGAAAAACGUCGUCAGAGUUGCAACCACAGGAACCAAAUCAAGAACACUGCAAAGACUGGAGGCAAUCAAGCCUAGGGCUUCCUUUGCUCCCUCGGUCAGACGUCCCCCACUGUUACACUGUCAGGCCAGCGCUGGAGCUACCAGGUGGCACCACUAACAAGAAACUUCCCCACGGGUCUUAGCAAAGGCAUUGGCACUCCUGGAUUAAAUAAAUUACAAAUAAAUCAAUAUUAAUAAUAGCACAAAUCUUGAUGCAAUCACAUUUGAUAAGGACAAAAAUGAACAUUUUGAUAAUUAUUUGAUAUGAAAAAUAAUGAACCUAUUACGGUCCAAUUAUAUUAUUUAAAACUACUAGAAAUGACAUGUUAUUUUUAUGUAUUAUGUCCAUUUCAUGUAUCUAGAGGCUAAAUACAAAUUGAUAUCAACAACUGUGACAUUUAGUUUAACACAUUUAUGGCUUUUAUCUGAAUUGUCCCUAAAUAAACUUGACAGCAUUUACUGGCAGCCCAUCACACACAGCAGCUGGUGGCUUCUGGGAAAAACAUAGUUGAUUUUUAUCAUCUGUGCUAAAGACAAGGCGUCCUGUCUGUUUCAUUGAGAAAUCAAUACAUAUUCUUUUCGAGUCUCCUCUAUAGGCAGAAAGCCAUAUGCCUCACAGCAUUGAUUUGUUGAUAGCAUCUACUUUUCUCCAAAACAAUACUGACAAUUUUGCUUAAAUAAAUGAAAAUUCCAUUUCCACAUUCUCAUGUGGCAGGAACAGUGAGUGAACAAUGAGUCUCAUAAAUGGCCUAGAGUAUCAUUAUUGACAAAGAACAUUCUGAUCCUUCUCUUCAUUCAUUGUCAUGACACCCCUCCCAUGAUUUGAUGCUAUAAUAUCUAUCAGAUACAGUUAGUGUGAGCAAUACAUGCAGCCAUUGACACUAGUUGCACGAAAUGAAGUCAGUAUUCUCUAUUCCAAUGAAUGUAGCCUUUCCAACUCAGGUUUCAUUUUGGUAUGCUUUAUUGUUACUUUUUAAUUCCUCAGAUCUCAAAGUAAUACAUGGAAUUGAUUCAUGUUAAACAUCUUACGAUGCAUUUGCCUGUUAACUGAUUUUAACAAAAAAUUAUUACAAAUUCCACCAAAAAAAGGGAGAGGACAGAAAGAGGAAGAGAGGGGGAGCCAUUUUAUAAUUUAUCAGAGAUCUUAGUAUUAGGAUUGUAAACCAGAGGGGCACUGACUAAUCUUUGUCUAGGUUGGCUAGGGAAUCUGGAAAUAGGAUAUUGGUGGAAAAAGGACAGAAUGCCUCAGCAACUUGUCUGGCUGUUGGGGAAAUUUGCAGAGCAACUUUCUUAAAAGCUGCACAUAAGUAACUGACUGCUAGGAGCAUCAUGUGCUGCACAGUGAAAAGCAUGGUGGAGCCAAGAUCCCUUCUGGACA
rnacentral:lncRNA from 1 species